rnacentral:rRNA from 1 species
GAUGAACGCUGGCGGCGUGCCUAAUACAUGCAAGUCGAGCGAACAGACGAGGAGCUUGCUCCUUUGACGUUAGCGGCGGACGGGUGAGUAACACGUGGAUAACCUACCUAUAAGACUGGGAUAACUUCGGGAAACCGGAGCUAAUACCGGGUAACAUGUUGAACCGCAUGGUUCAACAGUGAAAGACGGUCUUGCUGUCACUUAUAGAUGGAUCCGCGCCGCAUUAGCUAGUUGGUAAGGUAACGGCUUACCAAGGCAACGAUGCGUAGCCGACCUGAGAGGGUGAUCGGCCACACUGGAACUGAGACACGGUCCAGACUCCUACGGGAGGCAGCAGUAGGGAAUCUUCCGCAAUGGGCGAAAGCCUGACGGAGCAACGCCGCGUGAGUGAAGAAGGUCUUCGGAUCGUAAAACUCUGUUAUUAGGGAAGAACAAAUGUGUAAGUAACUAUGCACGUCUUGACGGUACCUAAUCAGAAAGCCACGGCUAACUACGUG